CACUAACCAUUCACCUUGCUUUCUUGAGCUUCUGGCAAAGAUAUCUCUAAUGACACAGAGAUGGGUAUUUUUUAUAUACACCCCAACAUGCUUAUUAACCCUUAAUAGAGUGCCCAAGAGUAGUGGGAGUUUGAGCGCAGGACUUAUUUUUUUUAAUAUCUUUUCCAGAAGGUCAAGAAAGCAAGGUGAAUGGUUAGUGU